rnacentral:hammerhead_ribozyme from 1 species
ACCAGCUGACGAGUUUCAAAUAGGACGAAACGCAUGUCUUGGAU